rnacentral:lncRNA from 1 species
GGUUGAAUCAUUGCAAGUGUGACGACGGGGUAACUGACAGCGGUGUCGCUGGAGCAAGAGUAGAGGUUCAGGUAUGCGUGGAAUCAUAAGUCAUUUCCUUGUACGCGAUUUCCCUGAAAACACCUACUUAACAGCGGCACAUGUGUAGUUCCCGGACACUUCGAACUUGGGGUUGCAGCAAGUGCUUGGAGCACGAAUUUGAUGCUGGAGCAAGAAGGCCAUGGCGUGGACGAGGUGAGCGGAAGUGUUACCACUGUUGUGUUGUCUGUUGAUCUCCGGACGAUUUGUUUGAAAACCAAAACCGGCUGCAUUUCCAUGGAGAGGUGAUUCAGCGGGGGGCCUCAUUCGGAUAAGAUCUGCAAGCAGGAGUUGGACAACAAGAGCGGAGAUGGUUCACUUGAAGGAUUCGGCGAGCAUGACCCAGCCGGUGGCGCGCUGGCCGACUUCCAUGGUGUUGACACUGAUAUGGACAAUGGAUCUCGCGUGAUCUGUGGUGCCGAAGAGGUUGAUUCCAGUGGAGAAGAGGUGAGCAGCAGGUAAGCGAAACGACGGCGUACACAGGCUUGUUUUGCGACGUGAGCGUAUCACCAGAGGAAAGAACUGUGUUUCCACUGCUCCCCUUGUCCAAGAUGGGCACACCAUCUUCAACAGAUUGUUGUAUUGUGCGUGCGGUGUGUUUUAGAUUGCAGAUAAAAAGAAAACCUGAUAGUGUGUUUAUAUGAUGACUAACUCUAGUUUGUCCCACUGGCGGAGUACGCGUACAGUUGCAUCUUUUUGACGGUACAUUAUUAUUUUUUCCUUAGCUCUACCCCAAAUUGUUUUUUUAUUUAGCAUUGUGAUCGGCAGUAAAAAAUAAAUGUUGCAGCGUGUGAUUAAUUUUAUGCGUAGGUGGUGCUUAGAUAGUGAGCAGAGGUAAAAUAGGGGAAAAAAGACUGCCUGUUAUUUGGUUUUGGAUUUAAAAAUUCUACUCGGCCCUGAUUAAAAAAGGUUACGGCAUUUGACGAAACUUUGGUGUGCAGCUAAAAAAACAAAGACUGUCGUGGUGGUUUGUUUUCGAUUUAAAAAUUCUGGUCACUCGUUAAUAUAUGUUGCCGCAUUUGAUUAACUUGCGAGUGGAUAGUGCUUAGAUAAGCAGCAGCGGUGUGUUAGGGGAAAAAGGAUUGCCCUGAGGGCCUGCGGCGUGGUACGGAGACGGCUCAGCGGCUCAGCCUAGCACAGAAAAAAGCUUGAGCCGUGACCCCAACUGUUCGGCCUCUAUCUUAACAGCUUUCAUUGCACUUAAUGCUUCCAUCACUGUAUUUAUUUACUUACCAUACAUCUGCUAUACAGAGAGGAAUACAUCACCCAGCACACAUCCACAUGCUAGCGGACGAUGAAGAUUUCAGGAGCAGCUUAGCCUGAGCUCAGAAACGAAUAUCCCAUGCUAAUUCCACACUUGUGCUUUAAAGUAGCACCAUAUUUUUUCAUAUAAAGAGUCUCUUAUAAUGUCAUUUUCAUAUACUAGUGAAAAUUUUUCAUUAUAGAGUUUGAUGCACACCCACUCAGUUUUCAUAUUGAGCUUUCAUACACUUAUAGCUCUUAGUGCAUUCAUUGCAUGAUAAUCCCUACUCACAUUAAUAUCAAUUAAUGGGCAUCUCCAUAGCCCGUUGGUUAGCCGCGCUGAUGUGAGACUUUCUUACUUUUUUGUCUUCUCUAUAUUUACCCCUAUCAUCGUACUCUAUUCCACCUAUAGUGCUAUAUCCAUGACUUUCGCUCAUUUAUUGCGUGCAGGUUGAAAAAGCUGAAGCGCGUUAAAAAGUAUGAACCAAUUGCUCGACUUGUCAUCGGGGUUGUGCAUGAUAAAUACUUUGUAUUAAGAAGACAGAGCAUGACAAGACUAUGAUUUUGUAGGGAUAACUUUCUUUACCGUUGAUAUUUUGAAAGACACGACUAUUUGUUGGGAUGACUGAGUAUUGAUGUCUUUAUGUCAAAUUAUAGACUGUUGCAUUGAAUUACUCGUGUCUUGACAUUCAUGCCAUGAUUUGAUAUAUGAAGACUAUGUUAGGUAGCAUUCCACAUCAAAAAUUAUCUUUUUUAUCAUUUACCUACUUGAGGACGAGCAGGAAAUAAGCUUGGGGAUGCUGAGACGUCUCCGUCAUAUCUAUAAUUUUUGACUGUUUCAUGCCAAUAUUAUACAACUUUCACAUAUUUUUGGCAACAUUUUAUAUGAUUCGUUGCUAACAUAUUGAUCCAGUGCCCAGUGCCAGUUCCUGUUUGUUGCAUGUUUUUGUUUCGCAGAAUAUCCAUAUCAAACGAAGUCCAAAUGCGACAAAAAUUUACGGAGAAUUAUUUUGGAAUAUAUGUGAUU